AUUGAACGCUGGCGGCAGGCCUAAAACAUGCAAGUCGAGCGGAUGAAGGGAGCUUGCUCCUGGAUUCAGCGGCGGACGGGUGAGUAAUGCCUAGGAAUCUGCCUGGUAGUGGGGGAUAACGUCCGGAAACGGGCGCUAAUACCGCAUACGUCCUGAGGGAGAAAGUGGGGGAUCUUCGGACCUCACGCUAUCAGAUGAGCCUAGGUCGGAUUAGCUAGUUGGUGGGGUAAAGGCCUACCAAGGCGACGAUCCGUAACUGGUCUGAGAGGAUGAUCAGUCACACUGGAACUGAGACACGGUCCAGACUCCUACGGGAGGCAGCAGUGGGGAAUAUUGGACAAUGGGCGAAAGCCCGAUCCAGCCAUGCCGCGUGUGUGAAGAAGGUCUUCGGAUUGUAAAGCACUUUAAGUUGGGAGGAAGGGCAGUAAGUUAAUACCUUGCUGUUUUGACGUUACCAACAGAAUAAGCACCGGCUAACUUCGUG
rnacentral:rRNA from 1 species